rnacentral:rRNA from 1 species
UAUACUGCAAGUCGAGCGCGGAACCGUCUGACCCUUCGGGGGGACGACGGUGGAAUGAGCGGCGGACGGGUGAGUAACACGUAAAGAACCUGCCCAUAGGUCUGGGAUAACCACGAGAAAUCGGGGCUAAUACCGGAUGUGUCAUCGGACCGCAUGGUCCGCUGAUGAAAGGCGCUCCGGCGUCGCCCAUGGAUGGCUUUGCGGUGCAUUAGCUAGUUGGUGGGGUAACGGCCCACCAAGGCGACGAUGCAUAGCCGACCUGAGAGGGUGAUCGGCCACACUGGGACUGAGACACGGCCCAGACUCCUACGGGAGGCAGCAGUAGGGAAUCUUCCACAAUGGACGAAAGUCUGAUGGAGCAACGCCGCGUGAACGAUGAAGGCUUUCGGGUCGUAAAGUUCUGUUGUAAGGGAAGAACAAGUGCCGCAGGCAAUGGCGGCACCUUGACGGUACCUUGCGAGAAAGCCACGGCUAACUACGUGCCAGCAGCCGCGGUAAUACGUAGGUGGCAAGCGUUGUCCGGAAUUAUUGGGCGUAAAGCGCGCGCAGGCGGCCUCUUAAGUCUGAUGUGAAAGCCCCCGGCUCAACCGGGGAGGGCCAUUGGAAA